AUAUUUAUUUCUAGGGGAAACACCCUGAUCAUAUAGGUGGUUAUCCCAGAGAGAGGUUCAGUCAUUGCACUUCGGCUGUCCUGACCCCCGGGAUUUCCCCAAAUGGGGGGAUACACAACUACAUAUUUUGUAGUAGUGGGGGACUGCGUUCGCGCUCUCCCCUG